rnacentral:rRNA from 1 species
GAGAGUUUGAUCCUGGCUCAGAUUGAACGCUGGCGGCAGGCCUAACACAUGCAAGUCGAGCGGAUGAAGGGAGCUUGCUCCUGGAUUCAGCGGCGGACGGGUGAGUAAUGCCUAGGAAUCUGCCUGGUAGUGGGGGAUAACGUCCGGAAACGGGCGCUAAUACCGCAUACGUCCUGAGGGAGAAAGUGGGGGAUCUUCGGACCUCACGCUAUCAGAUGAGCCUAGGUCGGAUUAGCUAGUUGGUGGGGUAAAGGCCUACCAAGGCGACGAUCCGUAACUGGUCUGAGAGGAUGAUCAGUCACACUGGAACUGAGACACGGUCCAGACUCCUACGGGAGGCAGCAGUGGGGAAU